rnacentral:tRNA from 1 species
CGGGGUGUAGCUCAGUUUGGUAUGAGUGCUUGGUUCGGGACCAAGAGGCCGCGGGUUCAAGUCCCGCCACUCCGACCA